GAGAAGCAGGAGAGGACCCGGGGAGCUCAACCAGCAGCUCUGCCGGGUUCCUCUCGUGAGGUAAGAGCGUUGCCACGGCAACACUCAGAUCUCGCGAGAGUGAACUCUAGCCCCAAAGGCUAAAGUUCACUCUCCACUGGACCACCAGGGAUGGCAGCAGCACGAUCCCCCCUCCCUACAUAAGGUAAUAAAGGAGGGGGGAUAUUAAGUACUGUAUCCCCACCUCCACCCCCCCACAAUCACCCACACACACAGCACCUACACACAUACAGCACACACACAGCACCUACACAUACAGCACCCACACACACACACACAGCACCCACACACAUACACAGCACACACAUACACACAGCACACACACAGCACCCCCACACACACACAGCACCCCCACACACACACAGCACCCUCAAACCCACAGCACCCUCAAACACACACAGCACCCUCACAUACACAGCACACUAACAGGACCCUAACAAACACACACACACAGCACCCUCACACACACAUCACACUAACAGCACCCUCACACACACCCUCAAACCACCCUCACACAGCACACACACACACAGCAGUGUGUGUGUAUAUAUAUACACACACACACAUACAUAUACAUGCGGCGUGUGUUUGUGCUUUAGGGUGCACACCCUAAUGCAAUAGGCUGCGCACGCCUAUGACUACUCUUGGUAUUUUUGCAGAUAUUUGUCAUUUCAGCUCUGAACCAUUGUAUGUUUAAACAUUAAAUAUAACCUUUCUCUCCUUUGUUAGAUAUUGAUCACCCCUGCUGCUACUCAAAACACUUGCACAACUGGGAGUUUGGUUCACAUGCACUUAAGAAGAUCAUCAAAGAACUCUGGCGGAUGAUCGCCAGCCUGAGAAAAGAUUGGAUCCUCAUUAAAAAAAUAUAUAUAAAAAGUAAAAUAAAAAUAAUGCUCUGAUCUAUUGAUCAGCCACAACAUUAACAGCCACAACAUUAAAACCACCUGCCUAAUAUCAUGAAGGUCACCCUUGUGCUGCCAAAACAGCGCUGAUGCGUCGAGGCAUGGACUCUACAAUGUGUCCUGUGAUAUCUGGCACCAACAUUAGCAGCAGAUCUUUUAAGUCCUGCAGGUUGUGAGGUGGGGCCAAAAUGGAUUGGAUUUCAGCACACCACACAGAUCCUCAAUUGGAUUGAGAUCUGAGGAAUUUGGAGGGCAAAGGCAACACCUUGAACAUUCUGUCAUGUUCCUCAAACCAUUCCUGAACAAUUUUUGCAGUGUGGCACGAUGCAUUAUCCUGUUGAAAGAGACCACUGCCAUCAGGGAACACGAUUGUAUCCCAGCAGAACAUUGCCCAUUGCAUAGCACUGCUUCCACUGGCCUGUUUUCUGCCCAUUAGUACAUACUGCUGCCAUCUUUUCCCCAGGAUAAUGACACACACGCACUUAGCCAUCCACCUGAUCUAAAAGAAAACAGGAUUCAUCAGACCAUGCAACCUUCUACCAUGGCUCCAUGGUCCAACUGUGAAGCUCAUGUCCCCAUUGAAAGUGCUUUCGGUGGUAGACAAGGAUCAUCAUGGGCACCCUGACUGAUCUCUGGCUACGCAGCAAACGGCGACGGUGUGUUCUCACACCUUUGUAUCAUGGCCAGCAUUACGUUUUUCAGUCAUUUGAGCUACAGUAGCUCUUCUGUGUGAUUGCACCAGACGGGCUAGCCUUCACUCCCCACAUGUAUCAAUGAGCCUCGGGUUCCCAUAACCCUGACAUUGGUUUACUGGUUGCCCUUACUUGCAUCACUUUUGGUAGGUACGAACUACUGCAUACCAUGAACACUUCACAAGACUUGUCUUUUCGAGAUGCCCUGUCAAAGUAAUCUAGCCAUCACUAUUUGACCCUUGUCAAAGUCACACAGAUCUUUUCGCUUGCCCAUUUUGUUCUGCUUCCAUCAUAUGAAAUAGAACAACUUGCUACCUAAUAUAUCCCACCCCUUGGCAGGUGCCAUUGUAAUGAUAUAAUCACUGUGAUUCACUUCACCUGUCAGUGGUUUUAAUGUUGUUGCUGAUCAGUGUAAAUGGUCACCUAUGAACAUGGCCUGGAGUCUUAUAAGUUUAUUUAGAUGCGUUAUGGA
rnacentral:lncRNA from 1 species